AGCAGUAGCCGCGGUAAUACGUAUGUCACAAGCGUUAUCCGGAUUUAUUGGGCGUAAAGCGCGUCUAGGUGGUUAUGUAAGUCUGAUGUGAAAAUGCAGGGCUCAACUCUGUAUUGCGUUGGAAACUGUGUAACUAGAGUACUGGAGAGGUAAGCGGAACUUCAAGUGUAGAGGUGAAAUUCGUAGAUAUUUGUAGGAAUGCCGAUGGGGAAGUCAGCUUACUGGACAGAUACUGACGCUAAAGCGCGAAAGCGUGGGUAGCAGACAGGAUUAGAUACCCGGGUAGUCCCUGUCUCUUAUACA
rnacentral:rRNA from 1 species